rnacentral:sRNA from 1 species
GAAAGCAGGAUGCACGAGGUGGCGGCCCCGCAGCCCUUGAGUGGGGCCUCAUUCCUGGAGAUGCAGCAAAGAGUUUGCUGGUUCGGGUUUGUGGAGGGAAAGUCAGUCUGAAUGUAGACGGAACUGUAGGUCGCCUGGUCGGCGCUCUGGAUGCAGUGUUGGAUUCCAAUGCACGGGUUGCUCCAUUUCGAAUUCUGCUUCAAGUUCCCGGCUCCCAGGUUUAUUCUCCCAUAGCAUGUGGUGAGUUACUGAAUGGAUCAGACGUUUACUGGGCCAUAGCCACUGGUGCAACAUUAGAGGAAAUCAACCAGCACUGGGACUGGCUGGAACAAAAUCUCCUCCACACCUUGUCCGUCUUUGAUAAUAAAGAUGA